GGGCUCCAGUCGCUCUGAGGACAGUGUGCCCCCUGGGCCUUUGACACCCGGGGGUCUGAGGGGCCC
rnacentral:snoRNA from 1 species